ACUGUUGCUAUGGCAGCUUUAUGGCGUUCUACUUAAAAGUUAUGGCGGCAGGGAACAGCAAGGAUUUCAUUCGGAGGCACACCGGGAGCCAUUUAAAAGAUAAUAAUUCUGCUGUUCGGACACAAAUGGAGGAAAAUGAGCAACAAAACCGAGACAGUGCAGCCGACUGGCAACAUAACCGAGUAAUGGCUUUUUCCUCAAGGAACGGCGCUUCAACCCAUAACUUGUUCAGUUGAUGACAUCCUGCUACCAGCUUUCACCAGCAUCUUCAGAGGUUAUUUUUGGGAACUCGGAUUGUUUUAUUGAUGGCAUAAAGGAUCCGUUAAGCCAGUGGGAGUUCUGUGAUUCCUUCAAUGGAGCUGCCAGGUGCUGAGAACGGAGCCAGCGUUCAACCUUUGGCUUCUGCUACUCCUCCUCACUAUGCUCCAAGAGUCCUGGAAAUGGAGCCAGGAGUAAAUCAGAAGGCAAAGAGAAGCAAGGAGGAUGUGAGCAGCAUGUCCACUUCUCCCAGUUGGAAAGACAUCACCCGUGGCGCCAGCUCAAAAAGAAUCCUGCGGGUGAAAGAAAGCGCUGACAUGACAGAUGAUGUAGGAAUUGGCAAGCAGCUGGCACAGUGCAAACAAACAGAGCUCCAGCGUCUCACAUAACUCAGGCAUAUGGAGAAGCUGGUUGCCUACAUGAGCCAGAACAGCUUUGCUCAGCUUUGCUCUCGUCGGACGUCGAAGUGGACAGAUAAAAUAUGAAGCCAUGUUGAUACUUUACGCGUUUAAUCUAUUAAGAUUGUACAAUGGUGAGAAAAAUACAAACCUUGCAGCUUUCAGUCAAUGAGCAGCAAUGGGCAGGUAGCCUCGGCUCCCAGAGACUGCAGCAGCCCCAGGCAGACAAACACCAGGAACCCCACAGAGUGGCCACACAACACAGAUGCAGGUCGACAGCAGAACACAGGGAACAGCAAUCCUUAGGUCAGAGAGGUAGAGAGAAACACAGGGAACCAAAACACCAACCUGUCCCUGCUGUGACGUACCCCAAUGCAGGUGGGACAUUCCUGUGAACCUUGUGCCAUAAAUAAGGAAUCCCCUGAUCUUCCCCAUAACACACCACCAGCCUGAGCUACUAAAGUUAUCCUGUGACAUUGAAUAAAUGAAAGUUUGGAGAAAAAACAGAAUAGAGCUUUGGAGGAACUUCAAAAACAAAAAAAUUGACGGAAGUAAGACAUUUACUGCAACCAAAUCCAGCAACCAUUGUUUUGACUUGGCUGGGCAAAAGCUUCUUUCUACUCCAUUGUUCUGAUCCGACUUCCUUCCCUGUUCUGAUCAAGAAAACGUUCAACUCUUUCAGGACAGGUGUUGUCACAAACUUGACCAACCAAUUAAAAGUAGACUUGAGAAAAUAUAGUUGCGGUUUUUCCACUACAAUCUUUAAACUAUUGUCAUAGAUAAAACGUUGUUUCCUGGCUGGAGCUGAUUCAAAAUUAAAGUUUAAAGCAUAUAUUAAAGGAAAUCGAGUACAAAUAGCAACAAAUUUCCA